rnacentral:misc_RNA from 1 species
GUCAUGAUCAAGAGACCAGACGUGCAUGCACCAGGCACAGUAACAGACCAAGGUUUUGUAUUUUUUGUUUUGCCCUUUUCUUUCUUCGGGUUCUGUUCUCCUUAAAUCUCUUUUUGCUUAUCCCUUUUAAGAUGUCUUGUACAUAAUACAGUAAGAGCGGUAUUUCAACUAAAACAAAUAAAUACUAGUGGAUUUAUCAUCAUCGGAAAAACAAACAAAAAAAUAAAGUUCAUCAAAUUCGAAGCUCUGGAGGCAGACAAGACCCACUUGCAGAACCCCAAAACAUACGUUAAAACCCCAACAUGAAAACAAAAGAAGUAAUGAAGGGUGUGAAUGGCGAAUGAUCGGUAACACUGUUUCUCUUGUUUCCUCCUUUUUCCUUAGUGGGCUAUCUUUUUCUAUACUUUUGGCUCAUUAAAGGUUAGACCCCACUAUACCAGUCAUUCCACCAUCAGGCCUGAAAACUAGCCAUGAAGCUGCAGAGAGGACACUGAAAGCGAAGAAAGAGAGAGAAAGAAAGCUCGUGGGAUUGAGAAGAGGUUAGUGGGUUUGAAUUUGAUAAAACAACUCCAUUUGCCUAGAAAUGGCAGUUUUUUCACGUUGGUUUUAUGCCAAGAAGUGCGCUCUUCUUUUUCUCAGAACAAAUGAAUUUGAAGAUUGAAAUUUUAAGAUGAUGGUUUGGUUUGGUUUGGUUUCCUCACCAUCAUCACUCGAAAUGAGAAUAUAAAACGCAAACUAGAAGGCUGACGAGAGC